rnacentral:rRNA from 1 species
GCUCGUAGUUGAACUUUAGCGUGUUCGAGUUUGCCAUUCGUUUGGCCUUUUCGAGUUCGCUUUUGGGUUUUCCCUUUUUACUUUGAGAAAAUUAGAGUGUUUCAAGCAGACUUUUGUCUUGAAUACUUCAGCAUGGAAUAAUAGAGUAGGACUUUGGUUCUAUUUUGUUGGUUAUUGAACCUUAGUAAUGGUUAAUAGGAACGGUUGGGGGCAUUCGUAUUUAACUGUCAGAGGUGAAAUUCUUAGAUUUGUUAAAGACAAACUACUGCGAAAGA